GCUGGGCGUGGUGGCACAUGCCUGUAAUCACGGCAACUUGGGAGGCUGAGGCAGGAGGAUCACAAGUUCAAAGUCGGCCUCAGCAAAUUAGGAUGACCCUAAACAACUUAAAGAGACCCUGUCUCCC
rnacentral:sRNA from 1 species